UGUAAACCUGUAAGAUUCAGUUCGAGCAAACUGCAGUCGUUAGUUCUGAACUUCCUCCCUACAUUGAGGGACUACCGGAGCACAUGGAUGAACAAAAAAGACCUAUGAGGAUGCAUAGCUUAUCUAGACAGAGGAUGGUAAUUGACUACCAGAGUACCAGUACAUAUGUAGAAGAUACCGAGUUUCCACGUGUUAAGGAGAGCUUAGCAAGGAAAUUGGUGAGGUGCCCUAAACGACAGUUGAUUUAUAUACGGAUGACCUUCUCUUGGGUUUAGCUUUUUAGAAACCCGAUAUUGUCUCAUGUUGAGGGAUAUGAACGAGGACUCAGUGAGUAGAAGGCAAAACUGUGCAAGCUAUUUAUUCCCAUAUCACCCAUCAGGCCAUUUUUUCCAGGUUUACUGAAAGUACAUGCUUCUUAUUAGGCUUGCUUCUUUAUGUCUAUGCAUAUUUAUUAAUUUCUGAAUAGCCUCUGAAAAUUAUUAAAAUCCUAUAGGACGACAUGUUUGCAUUUGUAUCUGAUGCAUCCCUUUAUAUUUUGUUUAGAUGGGAGCAUUUCUUCUUUUCGUCCUUAGCUUUUCAUUAAUAACAUGAAAGUAGCAGGUCAUGUGCAUUAGUAAUUCAACAUACGAGUAUAGCUAUGGCUCAUCACCCCCCGCUGUACACCCGGGAGUUGCAAUCCCUUUUACAGUAUCUGUGUUGUCUGUUUGGUAGGACGUUUUUUUAUUGAACUCUAUGCUCUUAUUUCUUAAUCUCGAUAGAAUUCUGUAUCGAGGAUAAUUCUUAUGGAAGUUAUUCUAAUAUGUACUGUAGAGCCAUAGAAAAAAUCUCAUAUUAGAGAACACAAGUUCGCAGCAGUUAAUAAUCUUAGAUUUCACAGCUGACUUAAGAUCUUAUUUUACUGCUCUGUAUAUACAAAUAUGCCACAUCAAAGUUCUUAAUUAUGCUCGAAGAUAGGAAAAUCUACCCCGGCCCAUUGUGUUGAUAAUAGAUGGCAUUGUCUUUUCUUUUUCAUCCGAGAUUGAGUAAGAUCCUGACAGCAUGUUGAUCCAUUUUCUGCUUUUGUUCUCUAUAAAAACGCUAACUUUGCCUCUAUCGAACUUCAUUUCAGGUAGCUUGGUGUUUGAGGGUAAACUAAAUUGAUUUUCUCCUAUUCUCUCCCAAUAUUCAGAACAAAAUUGACAGCUUUACGAUUGACGAGUUGCCUAACACCGAACCCUAGGGUGGACGCGGCUGCAAUACUGAAGUGUCUAGGGGUAUAAUCGGGGUUCUUUAUAGACCACCAAACUGAAGUUUUUCAUGCAGCCAAACCCAAACUUUAGUAGUCGUGACUAAGAUUAUUAAAUGUGAUAGGAGAGAAUGCCAAUCAUA